UACGUAGGGGGCAAGCGUUGUCCGGAUUUAUUGGGCGUAAAGAGCGUGUAGGCGGUUUGGUAGGUCCGUUGUGAAAACUCGAGGCUCAACCUCGAGACGCCGGCGGAAACCAUCAGGCUAGAGUCCGGAAGAGGAUAGUGGAAUUCCCGGUGUAGCGGUGAAAUGCGUAGAGAUCGGGAGGAACACCAGUGGGCGAAGGCGGCUAUCUGGACCAGCACUGACACUCAGGCACGAAAGCGUGGGGAGCAAACAGG
rnacentral:rRNA from 1 species